CUACGGGGUGCAGCAGUGAGGAAUAUUGCACAAUGGGGGAAACCCUGAUGCAGCAACGCCGCGUGGAGGAUGACGCAUUUCGGUGUGUAAACUCCUUUUAUCAGAGAAGAAAAUGACGGUAUCUGAUGAAUAAGCUCCGGCUAACUCCGUGCCAGCAGCCGCGGAAUACGGAGGGAGCAAGCGUUUUUCGGAAUCACUGGGCGUAAAGGACGCGUAGGCGGGUUUUUAAGUCGGGUGUGAAAUCCUAUGGCUCAACCAUAGAACUGCACUUGAAACUGGGGACCUAGAGUAUGGAAGGGGCAGGUGGAAUUAGUGGUGUAGGGGUAAAAUCCGUAGAUAUCACUAGGGGUACCGAAAGCGAAGGCGACCUGCUGGGACAUUACUUACGCUGAGGCGUGAAAGCGUGGGGAGCAAACAGGAUUAGAUACCCCUGUAGUC
rnacentral:rRNA from 1 species